rnacentral:rRNA from 1 species
CCUACGGGGGGCAGCAGUGGGGAAUAUUGGGCAAUGGGCGCAAGCCUGACCCAGCAACGCCGCGUGAAGGAAGAAGGCUUUCGGGUUGUAAACUUCUUUUCUCAGGGACGAAACAAGUGACGGUACCUGAGUAAUAAGCCACGGCUAACUACGUGCCAGCAGCCGCGGUAAUACGUAGGUGGCAAGCGUUAUCCGGAUUUACUGGGUGUAAAGGGUGUGUAGGCGGCAAGGUAAGUCAGAUGUGAAAACCAUGGGCUUAACCUGUGGCCUGCAUUUGGAACUGUUUAUCUUGAGUACAGGAGAGGCAGACGGAAUUCCUAGUGUAGCGGUGAAAUGCGUAGAUAUUAGGAGGAACACCAGUGGCGAAGGCGGUUUGCUGGACAGCAACUGACGCUGAGGCGCGAAAGCGUGGGGAGCAAACAGGAUUAGAUACCCUUGUAGUC